rnacentral:rRNA from 1 species
GACGAACGCUGGCGGCGUGCCUAAUACAUGCAAGUAGAACGCUGAAGGAGGAGCUUGCUCUUCUGGAUGAGUUGCGAACGGGUGAGUAACGCGUAGGUAACCUGCCUGGUAGCGGGGGAUAACUAUUGGAAACGAUAGCUAAUACCGCAUAACAGUAGAUGUUGCAUGACAUUUGCUUAAAAGGUGCAAUUGCACCACUACCAGAUGGACCUGCGUUGUAUUAGCUAGUUGGUGGGGUAACGGCUCACCAAGGCGACGAUACAUAGCCGACCUGAGAGGGUGAUCGGCCACACUGGGACUGAGACACGGCCCAGACUCCUACGGGAGGCAGCAGUAGGGAAUCUUCGGCAAGGGACGGAAGUCUGACCGAGCAACGCCGCGUGAGUGAAGAAGGUUUUCGGAUCGUAAAGCUCUGUUGUAAGAGAAGAACGAGUGUGAGAGUGGAAAGUUCACACUGUGACGGUAUCUGACCAGAAAGGGACGGCUAACUACGUG